rnacentral:rRNA from 1 species
AGCCUGAUGCAGCCAUGCCGCGUGUGUGAAGAAGGCCUUCGGGUUGUAAAGCACUUUCAGUCAGGAGGAAAGGUUAGUAGUUAAUACCUGCUAGUUGUGACGUUACUGACAGAAGAAGCACCGGCUAACUCCGUGCCAGCAGCCGCGGUAAUACGGAGGGUGCGAGCGUUAAUCGGAAUUACUGGGCGUAAAGCGUACGCAGGCGGUUGAUUAAGCGAGAUGUGAAAGCCCCGGGCUUAACCUGGGAACUGCAUUUCGAACUGGUCAACUAGAGUGUGAUAGAGGGUGGUAGAAUUUCAGGUGUAGCGGUGAAAUGCGUAGAGAUCUGAAGGAAUACCGAUGGCGAAGGCAGCCACCUGGGUCAACACUGACGCUCAUGUUCGAAAGCGUGGGGAGCAAACAGGAUUAGAUACCCUGGUAGUCCACGCCGUAAACGAUGUCUACUAGGAGCUGGGGUCUUCGGACAACUUUUCCAAAGCUCACGCAUCAAGUAGACCGCCUG